rnacentral:rRNA from 1 species
GACAGAGGAUGCAAGCGUUAUCCGGAAUGAUUGGGCGUAAAGCGUCUGUAGGUGGCUUUUUAAGUCCGCCGUCAAAUCCCAGGGCUCAACCCUGGACAGGCGGUGGAAACUACCAAGCUGGAGUCCGGAAGAGGCGAGUGGAAUUCCCGGUGUAGCGGUGAAAUGCCGCAGAUAUCGGGAGGAACACCAAUGGCGAAGGCAGCUCGCUGGGACGGUACUGACGCUGAGGCGCGAAAGCGUGGGGAGCAACAGG